rnacentral:lncRNA from 1 species
GAUUGAUGGUUCGAGCCAGUCCAAAAUCCCCCAAUCGGGCGUUGAACUCUGAGUCCAGCAUUACAUUGCUUGCCUUUAUGUCUCGGUGAAGCACCCUCUUCUCACAUCCAUUAUGAAGGUAGUCCAGUGCCUGUGCCACCCCAUAAAUGACAGCAUGCCUCCUUUCCCAAUUCAGAGUAACUGGGUUAGUCUCUACUCCGUGAUUCUGAUUGCAAAAUAUGAGCAUGUCGAGGCUCUUAUUUGGCAUGAACUCAUACACCAGAAGCAGUUCAUCUCUCUCAUGGCACCAUCCCAAUAAUUUCACAAGAUUUCUGUGAUGGAGGUUGCUGAUUGUUGUGAUUUCUGCUAUAAAAUCUCGCUUGCCCUCAUGUGAAUUCCUUGAAAAUCUUUUCACAGCUACCUCCCUAUUUACCAAGACUCCUUUAUAGACGGUCCCAAAUCCACCUCUGCCAAGCAAGUUAUCAGAAUUGAAGUUUUCUGUGGCAGCUUCCAGUUCUUUCAAUUUGAAUUUUCUUGGAGCCGUGGAUGAGCCUUGAAUCUGCAGCUCAAACCACCCUGGAUCAUCCUCCUCCUCCACAUGAUCCUUGGUUUUGCGUUGCCAUUUCCAGUACAGGAAGGCAGAAAAUCCAAUAACCAAACCUAUUGCCCCAGGAACCGUGAUCCAGACCCAUAGCAGGUUAGGGGCAUCAUCAUAUAGUUCCAACCCACUGAAUUCCCAUGACUUCACAUAAUUGAUCUGUGCAUAAACUCCAGUUGAAGCUGAGAAUCCUACAUAAACCUUCUGAGGUAGAUAGUCGUAGAGAUUAAGUGACUCGAAAAUUACAGGAACGCUCCUGUUUUCCCCAACAAAAAUGCUCAAGCCUUGCCCAUCAUAUUGAACCUUCACCUUUAUAUCAAUACCACUUGAAAGAUUGACACUUAAACUCUCUUGUUUUCUUGAGUAGAUGCUAUUCAGAUCCAGGCCGACGUGGUUAUCAUCCAAGUCCUCUGGGUAGCUGUUCCUGGUGUCAAAUUCUACUGCCACAGCUCCCCUUGUACUUGACCCCAUUGUAUUCUCGCUUAUAAUCCCAAGCCAUUUUCCUACGCUGUUGGCUGGAAUAUCCGCAUGCCCGGUUAAGAUAAAAGCCAGGCCUUCACCCCCUGGAUAUGUGAGGGGAGUGAUAUUGAUCACAAAGGUGGAAUUAAAAGGUAAUGUGCCUCUGCCUGUGCUCCACAACUUCAAAGGCCUUGUAUAAAAGACCCGGCCACAUCCUCCAUUAUUUAAAACAUUUUGUGUUAGCUGGAUGGUGUCAGAAGCCAUAUAUGAAUCUCCGAAGAACGUCAAAUCAUCUCCUUUUUGUGGUUUGAAAAUUGGAUAACUGAAAUUGAAGCAUUCAGCUUGAGUAACAGCGCCAACCAAGACAGUUGCUAGUGCUACUGCAUUAAACCGCAGAAAAUCAUGGCUUAACAUACUGUCUCUGCCUGACCAGAUGCAUACCAAGUACAGGAAACGAUUCUGUUCAAACAACUGCAGUCAGCCCAUUUGAUGAACUUGAUACCACAUUCAAGUUCAUGACUUUCUACAAGGGGAAAUUCGGGUUUCCUUUUAUUAUAUUUCUGUUGAAUGUGUUAAAAAUAUAUGCCAAGACUUUAGAGGCUGAUCAUCAUGCUGGUUGCCGGCGAUCCACACAACCAGCUGAGGAAUAGUUAUAAAUUGGGAUAUGAACGGCUAAAAAAAAUAUCUUAACAAGCAACUAGGAAACUUCCGAAAUUUUCAAAGAUGAAGAAUGUGAUAAAAAAAACACAACCCAAGUCCAUCCUAUUGUAGGACAUGAGUUAGGCCAGAGUCAUUGGAUGACCAGAACUGUGGUGAUCCAGCCCUCAGUCCUGAGUCCUCCAUAAGAAGUUUCCAUGUAUAAGCUCUUCUCCGUAGAAAGACCAACUAUUAGCAUGAGUUUGAGAACGAUUGUCUUUAUAUUAUUUGGGAGACGAAAUAGUUACAAGCUACAUUUAAAGGCACUAUCAACUAAAAAGUAAUAGUACCUAAAGCUACAUUUUUAACACAUAUACAGCGAAGGGCACUCAUGCCCUUGAACAAUCAAAGAGGGGGGAAAUUUGUAAACACGCAAUAAGGGGUGUUCAUGCAAACAAGGAGAAAAUUUAGCACAUCAAUGAAGCUAAAGCAAUUCACCACCAUAAACUAAUGAAAAAACAAGAGGCAUACUGAUAUAUAGAAGAUGGACACCCCUGACUUUGAAUUACUGGCAUGAUUUUCAUCUUCCAAUCAGUUCUGAAGAUGGGGUGUUUCGGUCUCCACUGAAAGUGUAGUCCUGCAAAUCCUCAUUGAGAGAUGGGGGCAUUGCAGGUGGCCACACAAAAGCAGGUCUGUCCAUGGGGAUAACUGGUGGAGCAACCUCUCCUGCAAGAACCCUCAAGACAGUUCUCAUGGAUGGCCUCUGGUAUGGAUUUGGAUGGCAACAAGCCAGAGCCAAAACCAAUACACAUUCAGCUUGCUCCUUGCUGAAAAUCCCAUUCAAUUGCAAAUCUACCACAUCCAGAAUGCUCCCUCCCCUGUAAUUUUCCCAUACCCAAUCCACUAUGCUAUUGUUAUAGUUGUUCUGCGUGCUUUGUCUUCCAGGCUUUCUUCCACAGACAACUUCAAGUACCAGGACACCAAAUGCGUAAACAUCUGUUUGAACUGUUGCCCUCCCAAUAAGAAAACUUUCUGGAGCCAUGUAGCCAGGCGUUCCUGCAAUUGCUUUGGUGGAAUGGUGAGUUUGAUCACUCGGAUUGAUGGUUCGAGCCAGUCCAAAAUCCCCCAAUCGGGCGUUGAAUUCUGAGUCCAGCAUUACAUUACUUGCCUUUAUGUCUCGGUGAAGCACCCUCUUCUCACAUCCAUUAUGAAGGUAGUCCAGUGCCUGUGUCACCCCAUAAAUGACACCAUGCCUCCUUUCCCAAUUCAGAGUAACUGGGUUAGUCUCUGCUCCAUGAUUCUGAUUGC